GACGAACGCUGGCGGCGUGCUUAACACAUGCAAGUCGAACGAUGAAGAAGAGAAACGCGAACUUCGGUUCAAAUUUCACUUCGGAUUAGUGGCAGACGGGUGAGUAACGCGUGAGCAACCUACCUCUUACAAAGGGAUAGCCUCGGGAAACCGUGAUUAAUACCAUAUGGCACAUUCAUAAGGCAUCUUAAGAAUGUUAAAGCUACGGCGGUAAGAGAUGGGCUCGCGUCCCAUUAGCUAGUUGGUGAGGUAACGGCCCACCAAGGCGACGAUGGGUAACCGGCCUGAGAGGGUGAACGGUCACAUUGGAACUGAGACACGGUCCAAACUCCUACGGGAAGCAGCAGUGGGGAAUAUUGCACAAUGGAGGGAACUCUGAUGCAGCGACGCCGCGUGAGCGAUGAAGGAAUUCGUUUCGUAAAGCUCUGUUCUAUGGGAAGAAAAGGACUGUACCAUAGGAGAAAGCCCCGGCUAAAUACGUG
rnacentral:rRNA from 1 species